rnacentral:misc_RNA from 1 species
GAUGAAGAACGCAGCGAAAUGCGAUAAGUAAUGUGAAUUGCAGAAUUCAGUGAAUCAUCGAAUCUUUGAACGCACAUUGCGCCCGCCAGCAUUCUGGCGGGCAUGCCUGUUCGAGCGUCAUUUCAACCCUCAAGCUCUGCUUGGUGUUGGGGCCCUACGGUUGACAUAGGCCCUUAAAGGUAGUGGCGGACCCUCUCGGAGCCUCCUUUGCGUAGUAACUAACGUCUCGCAUUGGGAUUCGGAGGGACUCUUGCCGUAAAACCCCCAAAUUUUCUAAUGGUUGACCUCGGAUCAGGUAGGAAUACCCGCUGAACUUAAGCAUAUCAUAAGCGGAGGA